GCUCUAAGCCUUCAGAGGAGAGUUAGAACAUCCAGUUUUCAUUAAGCGUUUUUAACCUGGAAUUCGGUUUGGGCCUAGGGCCCAAACAUAUUGAUUUUUCAAUUUCUUAUCCACACGCCCAUUGACGUCCUACAAUUCCCUCUGGAUUUCUUUCAUCUCCCUGGCUUUGGUCCCCAAGCUCAAAUUUGUUUCUAAUGACAAAUACCCCAUUUUCAGGCCUG
rnacentral:lncRNA from 1 species